rnacentral:rRNA from 1 species
AAACGAGGCUGCUUGCAGCCGAAGUGAGUGAUACCCUGCUUCCAGGAAAAGCCACUAAGCUUCAGCUACACACGACCGUACCGCAAACCGACACUGGUGCGCGAGAUGAGUAUUCUAAGGCGCUUGAGAGAACUCAGGAGAAGGAACUCGGCAAAUUGACACCGUAACUUCGGAUGAAGGUGUGCCUUUAGUAGGUGAAGGGAUUUACUCCUGGAGCCCAAUGAGGUUGCAAAAAAUCGGUGGCUGCGACUGUUUAUUAAAAACACAGCACUCUGCAAACACGAAAGUGGACGUAUAGGGUGUGACGCCUGCCCGGUGCUGGAAGAUUAAAUGAUGGGGUGCAAGCUCUUGAUUGAAGUCCCAGUAAACGGCGGCCGUAACUAUAACGGUCCUAAGGUAGCGAAAUUCCUUGUCGGGUAAGUACCGACCUGCACGAAUGGCGUAACGAUGGCCACACUGUCUCCUCCUGAGACUCAGCGAAGUUGAAAUGUUUGUGAUGAUGCAAUCUCCCCGCGGAAAGACGGAAAGACCCCAUGAACCUUUACUGUAGCUUUGUAUUGGACUUUGAACAGAUCUGUGUAGGAUAGGUGGGAGGCUUUGAAGUAGGGUCGCUAGAUCUUAUGGAGCCAACGUUGAAAUACCACCCUGGUGUGUUUGAGGUUCUAACCUAGGUCCAUUAUCUGGAUCGGGGACAGUGCAUGGUAGGCAGUUUGACUGGGGCGGUCUCCUCCCAAAGCGUAACGGAGGAGUUCGAAGGUACGCUAGUUACGGUCGGACAUCGUGACGAUAGUGCAAUGGCAUAAGCGUGCUUAACUGCGAGACUGACAAGUCGAGCAGAUGCGAAAGCAGGACAUAGUGAUCCGGUGGUUCUGUAUGGAAGGGCCAUCGCUCAACGGAUAAAAGGUACUCUGGGGAUAACAGGCUGAUACCGCCCAAGAGUUCAUAUCGACGGCGGUGUUUGGCACCUCGAUGUCGGCUCAUCUCAUCCUGGGGCUGUAGCCGGUCCCAAGGGUAUGGCUGUUCGCCAUUUAAAGAGGUACGUGAGCUGGGUUUAAAACGUCGUGAGACAGUUUGGUCCCUAUCUUCCGUGGGCGCUGCAGAUUUGAGGAAGCCUGCUCCUAGUACGAGAGGACCGGAGUGGACACACCUCUGGUGUAUCGGUUGUCACGCCAGUGGCAUUGCCGAGUAGCUAAGUGUGGAAGAGAUAACCGCUGAAAGCAUCUAAGCGGGAAACUCGUUUCAAGAUGAGAUCUGCCGGGGCCUUGAGCCCCCUAAAGAGUCGUUCAAGACCAGGACGUUGAUAGGUCAGGUGUGGAAGCGCAGUAAUGCGUUAAGCUAACUGAUACUAAUUGCUCGUGCGGCUUGACCC